AUGGCUCUGUAGUCAGCAAUUGAUGACUAGCCCAGUGGGCUAUUUCACUGUGGCAUAGGAUUUUCCUAUCUUUUUUCCAACACAGCAUAAAUAUCAUAUUGCCGUGUAUCCCUUUAUAUGUGACCUUUAAAUUUGAAAUGUUUGAGGUCAACUAACUAUUAGAGAGGUCGCGAGAUGUCACAGCUGAUUUGUUGGAUGGAAAUUGUAUAGAUGGUUUUAAUUGUUUCAUUACGAAUGAUCAUUUGU
rnacentral:misc_RNA from 1 species